UACGUAGGGGGCAAGCGUUGUCCGGAAUUAUUGGGCGUAAAGAGCGCGUAGGCGGUCCGUUAAGUCGGCUGUGAAAGCCAGGGGCUCAACCCUUGAAAGCCGGCCGAUACUGUCGGACUAGAGUCCGGAAGAGGCAAGUGGAAUUCCCGGUGUAGCGGUGAAAUGCGCAGAUAUCGGGAGGAACACCGGUGGCGAAGGCGGGUCUCUGGGCCGAUACUGACGCUGAGGAGCGAAAGCGUGGGGAGCGAACAGG
rnacentral:rRNA from 1 species